GAUGCAAGAAAAAUUCACUAAUCUUCCAAAAACUGGGUUCACUCUACCGAAACUCACUAUGAUCCUUCAGACACAAUACCAUCUGCAAAUUUGGCAAGUGAACAUGAUGAUGUGUUCCAAACACAGACAAGCCUUCAGAGCAGUGUAAAUCAACUGAGUAAUAACAUAUUUCUACUUCAAAUAUGUGCACAUCCAUCAGAAACAACAGCCUCAAGCCCCAU